rnacentral:rRNA from 1 species
UGGGGAAUAUUGGACAAUGGGGGCAACCCUGAUCCAGCAAUGCCGCGUGUGUGAAGAAGGCCUUCGGGUUGUAAAGCACUUUUAUCGGGAAAGAAAUCGGUUCGGCGAAUACCUGGACCGGAUGACGGUACCCGAGGAAUAAGCACCGGCUAACUUCGUGCCAGCAGCCGCGGUAAUACGAAGGGUGCAAGCGUUAAUCGGAAUUACUGGGCGUAAAGGGUGCGUAGGCGGCCUGCUAAGUUCGAUGUGAAAGCCCUGGGCUCAACCUGGGAAUGGCAUCGAAGACUGGCAAGCUGGAGUGCGGUAGAGGGUGGUGGAAUUCCCGGUGUAGCGGUGAAAUGCGUAGAGAUCGGGAGGAACAUCGAUGGCGAAGGCAGCCACCUGGACCAGCACUGACGCUGAGGCACGAAAGCGUGGGGAGCAAACAGG